rnacentral:rRNA from 1 species
GACGAAGGAUGCAAGCGUUAUCCGGAUUCAUUGGGUUUAAAGGGAGCGUAGGCGGCCUUGUAAGUCAGUGGUGAAAUCUCUGGGCUUAACCCAGAAAUUGCCAUUGAUACUGCAGGGGCUUGAGUACAGUUGCCGUUGGCGGAAUAUGACAUGUAGUGGUGAAAUACAUAGAGAUGUCAUAGAACACCGAUUGCGAAGGCAGCUAACGAAACUGUAACUGACGCUGAGGCUCGAAAAGUGUGGGGAUCAAACAGG